UAAGCGGAGGAAAAGAAACUAACAAGGAUUCCCCUAGUAACUGCGAGUGAAGCGGGAAAAGCUCAAAUUUAAAAUCUGGCAGUCUUUGAUUGUCCGAGUUGUAAACUAGAGAAGUGUUAUCCGCGCUGGACCGUGUAAAAGUCUCCUGGAAUGGAGCAUCAUAGAGGGUGAGAAUCCCGUCUUUGACAUGGACUACCAGUGCUUUGUGAUGCGCUCUCAAAGAGUCGAGUUGUUUGGGAAUGCAGCUCAAAAUGGGUGGUAAAUUCCAUCUAAAGCUAAAUAUUGGCGAGAGACCGAUAGCGAACAAGUACCGUGAGGGAAAGAUGAAAAGAACUUUGGAAAGAGAGUUAAACAGUACGUGAAAUUGCUGAAAGGGAAACGCUUGAAGUCAGUCGCGUCGGCCAGGAAUCAACCUUGCUUUUGCUGGGCGUACUUUCUGGUUGACGGGUCAGCAUCAAUUUUGACUGCUGGAAAAAGUUCAAGGGAAUGUGGCAUCUUCGGAUGUGUUAUAGCCCUUGUUCGCAUACAGCAGUUGGGAUUGAGGUACUCAGCACGCCGCAAGGCCGGGUUUCGACCACGUUCGUGCUUAGGAUGCUGGCAUAAUGGCUUUAAUCGACCCGUCUUGAAACACGGACCAAGGAGUCUAACAUGCCUGCGAGUGUUUGGGUGGAAAACCCAAGCGCGCAAUGAAAGUAAAAGUUGAGAUCCCUGUCAUGGGGAGCAUCGACGCCCGGACCAGAGCUUUUGUGACGGAUCUGCGGUAGAGCAUGUAUGUUGGGACCCGAAAGAUGGUGAACUAUGCCUGAAUAGGGUGAAGCCAGAGGAAACUCUGGUGGAGGCUCGUAGCGAUUCUGACGUGCAAAUCGAUCGUCAAAUUUGGGUAUAGGGGCGAAAGACUAAUCGAACCAUCUAGUA
rnacentral:rRNA from 1 species